UAGCCAGCUGCAGACACACGAAUACAGAACCAAUGAUGAGUUACUUUUUAUUCAUGGACUGAAAUUGUAACUUUUACAGUCAAUAGCUGUGUUAUGAUUCUGAAAAGGACAUGUCUUGUUUCAUGGAUAUAGAUUGAUGGAACUGCCAUACACUGGAGGUGCAGCCUGUUAACCACGCAGGGAUUAAAGGUUUUUCUUGAUGACUUAUAAGAGCUGACCUGUACACUGCAGGUUGCAGCAAUGACACCAUCCACGGGUGUUUCUGAGAAGGGAUCAAACAUCCUGUCUGACCGCCGCAUGAAGUCAGGCUUCAGCAGAUGCUCCACUUCUCGUGUGACCCCCUCCCUCUGACUUUGCACAUGCUCUGCUCCCAGCAAGCCAUAUGGUCUGAACCCUCUCGCCUCUGGCCAUGGGACAGCAGCUGUUUUACAACAGGCGUCACUCACUGAACAGCUUCUCCACAAUGGAUCAUCUGCGCUGAUCUUGUCUAUCACUCAUGUCCUCCUUUGCUCCUCACUAUCCCUCCUCAACACCGGGUGAUGCAGCAAGAGAUGAUUUUUUUCACCAACUGUCGCAGGGGAUGCUGUGCCCUCAGCUGACAUGGGGUGAUAGGUGGGAUCACAACCAUUCACUUGCACAGUCCCCAUAUUGCAUAAAUAUGGAGUUUUAGGAAUAGUUGUUUGUAUAUGUCCAGGUGUGACCCACCUAACUACAUGCAAAAUGACCCUUGUUCAGACCGGGUCUCAAUCCCAGGUCUUCUUGCUCCAAAGGCAGGUGUGCUAACCACUACACCAACUUUAUUUUUUUCCAUUUGCGCCCAAUAUUUGGUGUAUCAACCAGAUUCAGUCUUCAAAGAACAUUUGGCUCAAAUGAGACGAAAAAGGCAGCCAGACAGUUGGCGUAGUGGGUAGCACACUAGGCUUUGCAGCAAGGGUCAUUCUGCAUAUAGUUAGCAUAUUGGUAGCGGGUUACACCUGGACAGUUCGCCAGUCCAUCGCAGGGCUACAUAGAGACAAAUAACCAUUCACUCUCACAUAUUGCACUAACCCAACAACAUGUGAAAGGUAAUUUGUCACUAUGUGGUCCAGGUGUGCCUAUGUCAGCUGCGAUUGGCACACCUGCAGUGUGUGUGAUGGUCAAUCCAAGGUCCAACCCACCUUCUUGAUACUGUUGCUGUCUUUCCUCUUGCUGACAGCGUUACUCUGGGAAACAUUGUUGGCUUCUUUCUCACUAAUUGCCUCUGACAGACUCGGAGCCUCUGAAUUCAAGUCCUUAUCUUCUGCCUCUUUUUCUCCUGCACACAAACACAUUAUUAAUAGUGUCAUAUUUGUUGAAUUCUUCCUUUACUGUGUACAACUGAAGUUUUUUGACAUUUCAACACUUUUGAAAUGUUUAUUCUGUAAAUAUCAGUUACUAUGAAAUCUGAUUAAAAGCUAUGAGCGAC